GAUGAACGCUGGCGGCGUGCCUAAUACAUGCAAGUCGAGCGAACAGACGAGGAGCUUGCUCCUCUGACGUUAGCGGCGGACGGGUGAGUAACACGUGGAUAACCUACCUAUAAGACUGGGAUAACUUCGGGAAGCCGGAGCUAAUACCGGAUAAUAUAUUGAACCGCAUGGUUCAAUAGUGAAAGACGGUUUUGCUGUCACUUAUAGAUCGAUCCGCGCCGCAUUAGCUAGUUGGUAAUGUAACGGCUUACCAAGGCAACGAUGCGUAGCCGACCUGAGAGGGUGAUCGGCCACACUGGAACUGAGACACGGUCCAGACUCCUACGGGAGGCAGCAGUAGGGAAUCUUCCGCAAUGGGCGAAAGCCUGACGGAGCAACGCCGAGUGAGUGAUGAAGGUCUUCGGAUCGUAAAACUAUGUUAUUAGGGAAGAACAAAUGUGUAAGUAACUAUGAACGUAUUGACGGUACCUAAUCAGAAAGCCCCGGCUAACUACGUG
rnacentral:rRNA from 1 species